rnacentral:rRNA from 1 species
UGGGUUGAUAGGCCGGAUCUGGAAGCAUCGUAAGGUGUGGAGGUGACCGGUACUAAUAGGCCGAGGGCUUGUCCUCAGUUG